rnacentral:rRNA from 1 species
UACGUAGGUGGCAAGCGUUGUCCGGAUUUACUGGGCGUAAAGCGUGCGCAGGCGGUUAUGCAAGUCAGAUGUGAAAUCCCCGGGCUCAACCUGGGAACUGCAUUUGUGACUGCAUAGCUAGAGUGCGGCAGAGGGAGAUGGAAUUCCGCGUGUAGCAGUGAAAUGCGUAGAUAUGCGGAGGAACACCGAUGGCGAAGGCAAUCUCCUGGGCCUGCACUGACGCUCAUGCACGAAAGCGUGGGGAGCAAACAGG